rnacentral:rRNA from 1 species
GACGAACGCUGGCGGCGUGCUUAACACAUGCAAGUCGAACGGUGAUGCCCCAGAUUGCUGGAGUGGAUCAGUGGCGAACGGGUGAGUAACACGUGAGCAACCUGCCCCAGACUCUGGAAUAAGCGCUGGAAACGGCGUCUAAUACUGGAUACGAAACUGGCCCGCAUGGGCAUGGUUUGGAAAGUUCUUCGGUUUGGGAUGGGCUCGCGGCCUAUCAGCUUGUUGGUGAGGUAAUGGCUCACCAAGGCGACGACGGGUAGCCGGCCUGAGAGGGCGACCGGCCACACUGGGACUGAGACACGGCCCAGACUCCUACGGGAGGCAGCAGUGGGGAAUAUUGCACAAUGGGCGAAAGCCUGAUGCAGCGACGCCGCGUGAGGGAUGACGGCCUUCGGGUUGUAAACCUCUUUCAGCAGGGAAGAAGCGAAAGUGACGGUACCUGCAGAAGAAGCACCGGCUAACUGCGUG